CACACGACUCUCGGCAACGGAUAUCUCGGCUCUCGCAUCGAUGAAGAACGUAGCGAAAUGCGAUACCUGGUGUGAAUUGCAGAAUCCCGUGAACCAUCGAGCCUUUGAACGCAAGUUGCGCCCGAGGCCAUUCGGCCGAGGGCACGCCUGCCUGGGCGUCACGC
rnacentral:rRNA from 1 species